rnacentral:rRNA from 1 species
UACGAAGGGGGCUAGCGUUGUUCGGAAUUACUGGGCGUAAAGCGCACGUAGGCGGAUCGUUAAGUCAGGGGUGAAAUCCUGGAGCUCAACUCCAGAACUGCCUUUGAUACUGGCGAUCUCGAGUCCGGAAGAGGUGAGUGGAACUCCUAGUGUAGAGGUGGAAUUCGUAGAUAUUAGGAAGAACACCAGUGGCGAAGGCGGCUCUCUGGACCGAGACUGACGCUGAGGCGCGAAAGCGUGGGGAGCAAACAGG